rnacentral:rRNA from 1 species
CCUACGGGAGGCUGCAGUAAGGAAUAUUGGUCAAUGGACGAAAGUCUGAACCAGCCAUGCCGCGUGGAGGAUGAAGGUCCUCUGGAUUGUAAACUUCUUUUAUAUGGGACGAAAAAAGGCCUUUCUAGGCCGUCUGACGGUACCAUAUGAAUAAGCACCGGCUAACUCCGUGCCAGCAGCCGCGGUAAUACGGAGGGUGCAAGCGUCAUCCGGAUUCACUGGUUCGAAGGGGGGCGUAUGUGGCAUGAUAGCAAUCUCCGAGCUUAACUUGGAAACUGCCAUUGAUACUAUUAAUCUUGAAUAUUGUGGAGGUUAGCGGAAUAUGUCAUGUAGCGGUGAAAUGCUUAGAUAUGACAUAGAACACCAAUUGCGAAGGCAGCUGGCUACACAUAUAUUGACACUGAGGCACGAAAGCGUGGGGAUCAAACAGGAUUAGAUACCCCAGUAGUC